rnacentral:rRNA from 1 species
AUGAGCCCCGCCGCGACGGACGCCGGCGGCGACCUCUUCGCCGCCAACCUCAAGGGCGCGCUCCUCGCCGUCGCCUCCUCCGCCUUCGUCGGGGUCAGCUUCAUCGUCAAGAAGAAGGGCCUCCGCCGCGCCGGCGCCGUCGGCUCCCGGGCAGGUCCGUCCGUCCGUCCGCGCUCGCCUCCUCACCCGAGGGCGCCGCUGUCGCUUUCGUGCCCCCUCGAUGUAGCUCUAGGUCUUUCUGGUGUCGGAGGGUAUGGGUACCUCUGGGAGCCGCUCUGGUGGGUCGGGAUGGUCACCAUGCUUGUUGGGGAGACCGCCAAUUUCGUGGCUUACAUGUUUGCGCCAGCCGUCCUCGUCGCGCCGCUCGGCGCACUCAGCAUCAUUGUCAGUGCUGUUCUAGCCCAUUUCAUGCUGAAUGAGAAGUUGCAGCGGGUGGGCGUCCUGGGCUGUAUUCUCUGCAUUGUUGGGUCGACGGUGAUCAUCCUCCACGCUCCCGAGGAGAGGUCCCCGGACUCGGUGGAGCAGAUUUGGCAGCUGGCAACGCAACCUACCUUCCUUUGCUACGCUGCUCUAGCAGUGGCUGUUUCAUUGCUUCUUAUGCUAUAUUGUGCUCCACGGUAUGGGCAGACGAACAUAAUGAUCUAUGUUGGUAUUUGCUCUGUUAUCGGAUCCCUCACGGUAAUGAGCAUCAAGGCUGUGGGCAUUGCGAUUAAACUUACCAUUCAGGGCGUAAACCAGGCUGGGUACUUCCAGACGUGGCUGUUUGUGACGGUUUCAGCUAUAUGCUUAAUCAUCCAGUUAGUUUACCUAAACAAGGCAUUGGAUACUUUCAAUACAGCGCUGGUUUCUCCCAUCUAUUAUGCCAUGUUCACAACCCUCACUAUUUUAGCAAGUGCCAUAAUGUUCAAGGAUUGGUCUGGGCAGAGCGCAAGCAUUAUUGCCUCUGAGACUUGUGGAUUUCUCACAGUUCUUGCCGGUAUUAUUGUGCUACAUUCCACCAAAGAAUCCGAUCAAAAUCUGUCCCCAGACCUUUAUGCAUCUCUCACUGCGCCCCUCCCUCCAAAGAUAUAUUGGCACAUCCAAGGAAACGGCGACGUAGGGAAGCAAAAGGAGGACGAGUCGCUUCCCUGCGAUUUCAUCACCGUCGUGCGCCAGGACUACUUCGUCUAG